CGGGCGGGGCCAUGUUGGGGACGGGCACGGAGGGGCUGUGCUGGGCGGGCGGCGGCUCCGUGCGGGAGAGGGGCGCGGGCUGUCUCCGGCACUGUUACUAAUGCUACAGCAAAACUGGAGCAGAAAGAGGUUUAGUGGCACCUCCUUCAAAGCAAA